rnacentral:sRNA from 1 species
UCCUUCGUGGGGACCCAGCGCUAUUCCU